rnacentral:rRNA from 1 species
AACGAACGCUGGCGGCAUGCCUAACACAUGCAAGUCGAACGAGACCUUCGGGUCUAGUGGCGCACGGGUGCGUAACGCGUGGGAACCUGCCCUUAGGUUCGGAAUAACUCCCCGAAAGGGGUGCUAAUACCGGAUAAUGUCUUCGGACCAAAGAUUUAUCGCCUUUGGAUGGUCCCGCGUUGGAUUAGCUAGUUGGUAGGGUAAAAGCCUACCAAGGCGACGAUCCAUAGCUGGUCUGAGAGGAUGAUCAGCCACACUGGGACUGAGACACGGCCCAGACUCCUACGGGAGGCAGCAGUGGGGAAUAUUGGACAAUGGGCGAAAGCCUGAUCCAGCACUGCCGCGUGAGUGAUGAAGGCCUUAGGGUUGUAAAGCUCUUUUACCCGGGAUGAUAAUGACAGUACCGGGAGAAUAAGCUCCGGCUAACUCCGUG